rnacentral:rRNA from 1 species
UGGUGGGUAGUUUGACUGGGGCGGUCUCCUCCUAAAGAGUAACGGAGGAGCACGAAGGUUGGCUAAUCCUGGUCGGACAUCAGGAGGUUAGUGCAAUGGCAUAAGCCAGCUUGACUGCGAGCGUGACGGCGCGAGCAGGUGCGAAAGCAGGUCAUAGUGAUCCGGUGGUUCUGAAUGGAAGGGCCAUCGCUCAACGGAUAAAAGGUACUCCGGGGAUAACAGGCUGAUACCGCCCAAGAGUUCAUAUCGACGGCGGUGUUUGGCACCUCGAUGUCGGCUCAUCACAUCCUGGGGCUGAAGUAGGUCCCAAGGGUAUGGCUGUUCGCCAUUUAAAGUGGUACGCGAGCUGGGUUUAGAACGUCGUGAGACAGUUCGGUCCCUAUCUGCCGUGGGCGCUGGAGAACUGAGGGGGGCUGCUCCUAGUACGAGAGGACCGGAGUGGACGCAUCACUGGUGUUCGGGUUGUCAUGCCAAUGGCACUGCCCGGUAGCUAAAUGCGGAAGAGAUAAGUGCUGAAAGCAUCUAAGCACGAAACUUGCCCCGAGAUGAGUUCUCCCUGACUCCUUGAGAGUCCUGAAGGAACGUUGAAGACGACGACGUUGAUAGGCCGGGUGUGUAAGCGCAGCGAUGCGUUGAGCUAACCGGUACUAAUGAACCGUGAGGCUUAACCU